rfam:Gossypium raimondii Chr11_contig_727, whole genome shotgun sequence.
UGUUAAAAAUUUCACCCACUUCUACUGUUAAAAAUUGACGUAACUAACAAAAUAAUCAAACAGUUACACAUGGCGCACUAUGCGUACCUUAUUUUGACAUAUAGGGACCAAUUUUUAACAGUAGAAAUGGAUAAAUUUUUUAACA